CCCUCUCUCCUUCACCAUUUGAAUAGUGAUGUCAUGAUUCCAACAUCCUCUUACCUCUACUGAAAAGGACCUAGCAGUGACUCCCUCCUGGGUGCUCAGCAACCCUCUGGGGGGAAGUUGUGGUUUCAGCAAGGUGCAAGCAUCAUGAAACCGAGAGAGAACUGGGAGGGCGGAGAAGUCACCCAAAGCUCAUCUCUGCUCAAGCUUCUUCAUCUUGCAAAGAGACAGGAUCAUUAUCUCCUUGAGGACAAGGGCCCAGCUUCUAUUUCUUUGGCUUGCUACCAGCGUGAAGAGGAAGGAAACAAACAAACCCUUCCUAGGUUUUGUUUGGCAUCCACCACCGCACCCAGCUAAAUUUUUGUAUCUUUAGUACAGACAGGGUUUCAUUAUGUUGGCCAGGUUGGUCUCGAACUCCUAACCUCGUGAUCUGCCCGCCUUGGCCUCCCAAAGUGUUGGGAUUACAGGCGUGAGCCACUGUGCCAGCCCAUGAUCAUUAAUUUUUUAUUGAGAAAAAAUAAUCUGGAUUUACCUGACUUCUCGCUUAUCUAAAUGGCAAUUGGGUGACCAUCUCUCAUAUUUGCCUGAGAGUGACCUCAUUUUAGGACUGAAACCCCUCAGUCCUGGAUUAACAAAGAUACUCUAACUGUCCUGGACAAACCCUAAAUGCCGGCGACAUCUCAGAUAGAGCUGUCGACCCAAGGGAGUGUUGGGAGAUUUUUUUUGGAUGGAAAAGGAAAGGUACUCCUUUGGAAUCAGAAGAGCUCACCCGUCUAGGGAGGAAAUAUGACAUGAAUUCCUCCCAGUGCAUUCUGUUCUCUGCUCAGCAUUGGUAAGCCUGGCCCCAGAGACCCUGCAGAGAGAGAUGCACCCUGCCUGGAAAUGCCUCAUUGGACAAGGAGGCAUUGGGAGGGCAGAGAGGAGAGGACUGCUGCAAAUAGGUCCACGUGGCAAGUCUGAAAAGUCUUCACAUCUUUCCCAUAGAGUCCCUUGAUUUUGGUCAGACUCUAGACUCCCACAACAAACCCCUGCUGGGUGCACAAGGUGAGCCUGUGUCCCCUCCUUCACCAAGUCAGCCUACCUGUGUGGGACACUGUGGUUUUGCUCCCAGACAAAGGAGCAGCCUCUGGCAU
rnacentral:lncRNA from 13 species